rnacentral:rRNA from 1 species
AACGCUAGCUACAGGCUUAACACAUGCAAGUCGAGGGGCAGCAUGAUUGAAGCUUGCUUCAAUUGAUGGCGACCGGCGCACGGGUGAGUAACACGUAUCCAACCUUCCGUACACUCAGGGAUAGCCUUUCGAAAGAAAGAUUAAUACCUGAUGGUAUCUUAAGCACACAUGUAAUUAAGAUUAAAGAUUUAUCGGUGUACGAUGGGGAUGCGUUCCAUUAGAUAGUAGGCGGGGUAACGGCCCACCUAGCCUACGAUGGAUAGGGGUUCUGAGAGGAAGGUCCCCCACAUUGGAACUGAGACACGGUCCAAACUCCUACGGGAGGCAGCAGUGAGGAAUAUUGGUCAAUGGACGAGAGUCUGAACCAGCCAAGUAGCGUGAAGGAUGAAGGUCCUACGGAUUGUAAACUUCUUUUAUAAGGGAAUAAAACCUCCCACGUGUGGGAGCUUGUAUGUACCUUAUGAAUAAGCAUCGGCUAACUCCGUGCCAGCAGCCGCGGUAAUACGGAGGAUGCGAGCGUUAUCCGGAUUUAUUGGGUUUAAAGGGAGCGCAGACGGGUCGUUAAGUCAGCUGUGAAAGUUUGGGGCUCAACCUUAAAAUUGCAGUUGAUACUGGCGUCCUUGAGUGCGGUUGAGGUGUGCGGAAUUCGUGGUGUAGCGGUGAAAUGCUUAGAUAUCACGAAGAACUCCGAUUG